GCUUGCUUCCGCCGACGACCGGCGCACGGGUGCGUAACGCGUAUACAAUCUACCUUAUACUGGGGUAUAGCCUUUAGAAAUGAAGAUUAACCCCCCAUAGUCUCUUAGAGUGGCAUCACUUCUAGAGUAAAGGUUACGGUAUAAGAUGAGUAUGCGUUCUAUUAGUUUGUUGGUGUGGUAACGGCACACCAAGACUACGAUAGAUAGGGGCCCUGAGAGGGGGAUCCCCCACACUGGUACUGAGACACGGACCAGACUCCUACGGGAGGCAGCAGUGAGGAAUAUUGGACAAUGGAGGCAACUCUGAUCCAGCCAUGCCGCGUGCAGGAAGACUGCCCUAUGGGUUGUAAACUGCUUUUAUACAGGAAGAAACACCUCUACGUGUAGAGGCUUGACGGUACUGUAAGAAUAAGGAUCGGCUAACUCCGUGCCAGCAGCCGCGGUAAUACGGAGGAUCCAAGCGUUAUCCGGAAUCAUUGGGUUUAAAGGGUCCGUAGGUGGAUAAUUAAGUCAGAGGUGAAAUCUUGCAGCUCAACUGUAAAAUUGCCUUUGAAACUGGUUAUCUUGAGUUAUUAUGAAGUA
rnacentral:rRNA from 1 species